rnacentral:rRNA from 1 species
UACGUAGGGUGCAAGCGUUAAUCGGAAUUACUGGGCGUAAAGCGUGCGCAGGCGGUGAUGUAAGCCAGUUGUGAAAUCCCCGGGCUCAACCUGGGAACUGCAUCUGUGACUGCAUCGCUGGAGUACGGUAGAGGGGGAUGGAAUUCCGCGUGUAGCAGUGAAAUGCGUAGAUAUGCGGAGGAACACCGAUGGCGAAGGCAAUCCCCUGGACCUGUACUGACGCUCAUGCACGAAAGCGUGGGGAGCAAACAGG